GACAGAGGGUGCAAACGUUGCUCGGAAUUACUGGGCGUAAAGCGCGUGUAGGCGGUUUCGCAAGUCCGAUGUGAAAGCCCAGGGCUCAACCCUGGAAGUGCAUAGGAUACUACGAAGCUUGAGUACUGAAGAGGAGAGCGGAAUUCCCGGUGUAGAGGUGAAAUUCGUAGAUAUCGGGAGGAACACCAGUGGCGAAGGCGGCUCUCUGGGCAGAUACUGACGCUGAGACGCGAAAGCGUGGGGAGCAAACAGG
rnacentral:rRNA from 1 species